UAUCUUGAUAGCGGAAGUUAC
rnacentral:miRNA from 1 species